GAUGAACGCUGGCGGCGUGCCUAAUACAUGCAAGUCGAGCGAAUGGAUUAAGAGCUUGCUCUUAUGAAGUUAGCGGCGGACGGGUGAGUAACACGUGGGUAACCUGCCCAUAAGACUGGGAUAACUCCGGGAAACCGGGGCUAAUACCGGAUAACAUUUUGAACCGCAUGGUUCGAAAUUGAAAGGCGGCUCCGGCUGUCACUUAUGGAUGGACCCGCGUCGCAUUAGCUAGUUGGUGAGGUAACGGCUCACCAGGGCAACGAUGCGUAGCCGACCUGAGAGGGUGAUCGGCCACACUGGGACUGAGACGCGGCCCAGACUCCUACGGGAGGCAGCAGUAGGGAAUCUUCCGCAAUGGACGAAAGUCUGACGGAGCAACGCCGCGUGAGUGAUGAAGGCUUUCGGGUCGUAAAACUCUGUUGUUAGGGAAGAACAAGUGCUAGUUGAAUAAGCUGGCACCUUGACGGUACCUAACCAGAAAGCCACGGCUAACUACGUGCCAGCCGCCGCUGUAA
rnacentral:rRNA from 1 species